rnacentral:rRNA from 1 species
UACGUAGGGGCCGAGCGUUGUCCGGAGUUACUGGGCGUAAAGCGCGCGCAGGCGGCGCAUCGCGCCCGGCGUGAAAGCCCCCGGCUCAACCGGGGAGGGUCGUCGGGGACGGGUGCGCUUGAGGACGGCAGGGGCAGGUGGAAUUCCAGGUGUAGCGGUGAAAUGCGUAGAUAUCUGGAGGAACACCGGUGGCGAAGGCGGCAUCCUGGACCAACACUGACGCUGAGGAGCGAAAGCCAGGGAGCAAACGGG